rnacentral:sRNA from 1 species
GGCCUAAACCUUGAGCUUUAUUAAGGCAUGGUCAAAAGUCGGAUAAGGAAUAAAAAACCCAUCAUGUGGUUGCCUUAUCCGCCGUAUUGGGAAACCAAUAUGUCUAGCGAAAGCUGGA